AUGAAUAAUAAAUGUGAAUAUUUUAGUGAACAAGAACUAAGUGAUUCAGUUUUGACAGAAGGUAGACUCUCGAUCAUUCACUUCAAUAGUAGAAGUUUGUAUUGCAAUUACUCUAAAAUAUUGGAUUAUUUAACACAAAAUAAAAAACCAUUUCAAAUCAUUGCUAUAACAGAAACAUGGUUAAAAGAAGGAGAUAAGGAGGAGGUACAAAUAGAGGGGUAUGAAAUGUACUUUAUGAAUCGGAAUAACAAAAGAGGUGCUGGUGUUGCACUGUAUGUAUGUCACAAUUUCAAAAGUAAAGUCAUUCAUAACAUGUCAACAGCCAUCCAAGAUGUAAUGGAAAUGAUCACUAUUGAAAUAAUCUCUGAAAAGACAAAAAACAUAAUAAUAAGUUGCAUCAAUAGAGCACCUGGAUCUUGUGUAGAAUCAUGUACAAAUACAAUUACUGAAAUGUUGAGUGGAAUCUGUAACAAGGAUGUAUUUCUCUGUGGGGACUUUAUUGUUGAUUUGGAAAAUGUAAACAAUUCAAAGACAGCAAACGACUUCAUAAAUUCAAUGUAUCUACUGGGUCUGUUUCCACUGAUAACCAAACCAACAAGAAUUGACGCGCAUAGCUCAACAAUUAUAGAUAAUAUAUUUACUAAUGCUUCAGAAGGGAUAGAGAGAAGUGGAAUAGUGAUGACUGAUAUCAGUGAUCAUCUGCCAAUUUUCACAGUCUAUAAAAAUCACCAGAUCAAAAAUCACCAGAAAAUGGAAAAACUUAUAAGGGACAGGUCACAAAACGCUAUAGAUGCACUAAAAAGAGAUCUGGAACAACAAAACUGGGAUGAAGUAUUUGUUGAUGAUGUAAACUUGGCCUACAAUUCUUUUAUAGGAAUUUUAUGUAGUCAAUAUGACAAAAACUGUAAAACAAAAACUCUAACAAAAAGAGGGAGGAUGAACAAACCAUGGAUGACAAAAGGGCUGCUGAAUGCCUGUAAGAAAAAAAUACAUUAUAUAGAUGUAUUUUUAAAACUAAGAACAAGUGAAGCAGAAAGGAAAUACAAAAAAUAUAAGAAUAAAUUAGUUUCUAUAAUCAAAAGACAAAAAAAAAGGAAUAUUAUAGCAAUUUAUUAG
rnacentral:lncRNA from 1 species